AUGAACGCUGGCGGCGUGUCUAAGGCAUGCAAGUCGAACGAAUUCUUUUUCGUAGCAAUACGAGGGAGCAGUUAGUGGCAAACGGGAGCGUAACACAUUGGUAAUCUACCCCGAGGUUCGGUACAACCUGUCGAAAGAUGGGCUAAUUCCGGAUGUGAUCCGAUUUCAUAAGAAGUCGGAUGAAAGUCGAAAGACUCCUUGGGAGGAGCCUAUGCCUCAUCAGUUAGUUGGUAGGGUAACGGCCUACCAAGACUACGACGAGUAGCAGGUGUGGGAGCACGACCUGCCUCACAGGGACUGAGACACUGCCCUGACACCUACGGGUGGCUGCAGUCAAGAAUAUUCCCCAAUGGGCGCAAGCCUGAGGGAGCGACGCCGCGUGCAGGAAGAAGCUCUUCGGGGCGUAAACUGCUUUUGUAUGGGAACACAUUUUGAGGGUACCAUGCGAAUAAGGACCUGCUAAACUCGU
rnacentral:rRNA from 1 species